rnacentral:rRNA from 1 species
UAGGGAAUAUUGCAUAAUGGGCGAAAGCCUGAUGCAGCAACGCCGCGUGUGCGAUGAAGGCCUUCGGGUUGUAAAGCACUUUUGACCGGGAAGAGGAAGGACGGUACCGGUCGAAUAAGCCUCGGCUAACCACGUGCCAGCAGCCGCGGUAAAACGUAGGAGGCGAGCGUUAUCCGGAUUUACUGGGUGUAAAGCGCGUGCAGGCGGUAGGCUAAGUUGGGUGUGAAAGCUCCUGACUCAACUAGGAGAGGUCGCUCAAGACUGGCCAACUGGAGAGCAGUAAGGGAAGGUGGAAUUCCGGGUGUAGUGGUGAAAUGCGUAGAUAUCCGGAGGAACACCAGUGGCGAAAGCGGCCUUCUGGACUGCAUCUGACGCUCAGACGCGAAAGCUAGGGGAGCAAACGG